CAACGCGAAGAACCUUACCUGGUUUGACAUAUACCGGAAAGCCGUAGAGAUACGGCCCCCCCUGUGGUCGGUAUACAGGUGGUGCAUGGCUGUCGUCAGCUCGUGUCGUGAGAUUUGGGUUAAGUCCCGCAACGAGCGCACCCUUGUCCUGUGUUGCCAGCGCGUAAUGGCGGGGACUCGCAGGAGACUGCCGGGGUCAACUCGGAGGAAGGUGGGGACGACGUCAAGUCAUCAUGCCCCUUAUGUCCAGGGCUUCACACAUGCUACAAUGCCGGUACAGAGGGCUGCGAUACCGUGAGGUGGAGCGAAUCCCUUAAAGCCGGUCUCAGUUCGGAUCGGGGUCUGCAACUCGACCCCGUGAAGUCGGAGUCGCUAGUAAUCGCAGAUCAGCAACGCUGCGGUGAAUACGUUCCCGGGCCUUGUACACACCGCCCGUCACGUCAUGAAAGUCGGUAACACCCGAAGCCGGUGGCCUAACCCUUGUGGAGGGAGCCGUCGAAGGUGGGAUCGGCGAUUGGGACGAAGUCGUAACAAGGUAGCCGUACCGGAAGGUGCGGCUGGAUCACCUCCUUUCUAA
rnacentral:rRNA from 1 species